rnacentral:piRNA from 1 species
UGUGCUGUGUUGUAGUUCUAAUCU